rnacentral:rRNA from 1 species
GCACAAGCGGUGGAGUAUGUGGUUUAAUUCGAUGCAACGCGAAGAACCUUACCUGGUCUUGACAUCCCGGAGACCCUUAGGAAACUAGGGGGUGCUUCCAUCUGGAAGAAUCUGGAGACAGGUGCUGCAUGGCUGUCGUCAGCUCGUGUCGUGAGAUGUUGGGUUAAGUCCCGCAACGAGCGCAACCCUUGCCUUUAGUUGCCAGCAGUUCGGCUGGGCACUCUAAAGGGACUGCCGGUGUUAAACCGGAGGAAGGUGGGGAUGACGUCAAGUCCUCAUGGCCUUUAUGACCAGGGCUACACACGUACUACAAUGGCCGAUACAAAGGGCAGCGACACUGCGAGGUGAAGCCAAUCCCGUAAAAUCGGUCUCAGUCCGGAUUGGAGUCUGCAACUCGACUCCAUGAAGUUGGAAUCGCUAGUAAUCGUGGAUCAGCAUGCCACGGUGAAUACGUUCCUGGGCCUU